UGUGGACCACACAGAGCUGGGUCUGAGGCUCAGCUUCACAAGCUGUGUAUGGUAGGUCCAUGGUCCUUUUUCUUGGCCUCAGGGCCCAUGUCGGUAACACAAGGGUUCAUAAAGACAGGGGCCAUUGUGUCAGAUGCUUUUCUAAGUGCUACAGAUGCUUACUCAUUUAAUCCUCACAACAAUAAUAGGUCCUAGUAGGUAGGAACUAUUAUUAUCCCUAUUUUACAGGUGAGAAAAUGAAGGCACAGAGAGAUUGAGUAACUUGCACAAGGUCACAUGUAGGAGAACUGAGCAUCCACCCUACUCAGCCUGGCCCCAAGGUCCAAGGUAACUUAAACCCAAUUAUAAAUGGCUUUGGCUAUAAAGUGUUCUUGAAUGAAAACGUUUAGGAAGUAGGCCUGGAUUCAGAUGCUUCAGAGGCUCAAAGGUUUUCUAAUUGUUUAUGGAGAAGAUUGAUCUUCACAAGCUAGUUUUUUCAUAGGCAAAAGCAAAAGUCUCUUCCUGUGUUAUUAAGUGAAAAUGGCUGAUUAUAAAAAGGGGCUUACAAACAAUAUUUAACAAAUCUUCAUCAAGUCCCUACUCUGUGGCAGGCCCUGGGUCAGGAGGUUGCCGAUUCCAGGAAGAAUCAGACCUUAUCCCUGCCCUUGAGUCUCAAGAAGAGGAAAGGAAAACAAAUAAGCAUAGUACAGUGUGAAAAGUGGGACUGUGGUCAAAUUUCAGUCUGCAAACUCAGAAUGGAUGAAAUAUGAAAGACUGACAACAUCAAGUUGUCAAGUAGGACAGGAUGUGGAACCACUGGAACUCAUACGUGACUGAUGGGAAUGCAAAAUGAUACCGAUCCCUUGGAAAACUCCUUGGCAACUUUAAUAAACAUAAAUCUACCCUAUGAUCCAGAAAUUCCACUCUGAGUCACGUCUCCAAGAGCAAUGAAAAUAUAUACCCACAAAAGACUGCACAUAAAUCAGAACAGCAUUGUUGAUAAUAGCCCAAACUGGAAACAACCUAAAUAUUCACCAAUAGAAGCCUGAAUAAAUUCAUACUGUGGGAUACUCUACAGCAAUGAGGUAGAUGAACUAUUACUGCCUACAACAACAUGAAAGAAAGUAAAAGUCACUACUUUGAUAAUUAUAAACACAAAAAAGUAAACAUAUCAUUCUAUUCAUAUGAAGAGUUAUCUAAAUAAUUAGUAAAAUUGAUCUAUGAUUUUAGAAGUGGUACCUCUGGAGGAGAAGGAGGGGUACUGUUACUGACUGAGAAGGGAGUUCUGGAAAAAUUCUAUACUUUGAUCUUUGGGAUGGUUACACAGAUGUAUAGAC
rnacentral:lncRNA from 1 species